GCUUAUCACCAUUACAGAUUGAAUAUACCCGAUCUCGUCUGAUCUCGGAAGUCAAGCAAUCUCGGGCUUGGUUAGUGCUUGGAUGGGUGACCGCUUGGGAAUACCAAGUGUGAUAAGCA
rnacentral:rRNA from 1 species